rnacentral:rRNA from 1 species
AAAAACAUGUCUUUUUGAAAAUGAUUUAAAGUCUAAUCUGCCCACUGAGGAAUUGAAUGGCCGCGGUAUUUUGACCGUGCAAAGGUAGCAUAAUAAUUAGUUUUUUAAUUGAAAGCUGGAAUGAAGGAUUGAAUGAGAAAAUAACUGUCUCAAAUUUAUUAAUAUUGAAUUUUAUUUUUAAGUAAAAAAGCUUAAAUUUAAUUAAAAGACGAGAAGACCCUAUAGAGUUUUAUAGAUUAAUAAUUUAAUAAUAUUAGGUUGUAAUUUAUAAAUUAUGAAAUUUAUUUGGUUGGGGUGAUUAUAAAAUUUAAUUAACUUUUAAAUUGUAAUAACAUUAAUUUAUGAAUUAUUGAUCCAGUUAUUUUGAUUAAAAGAUUAAAUUACCUUAGGGAUAACAGCGUAAUUUUUUUUGAGAGUUCAAUCGAAAAAGAGAUUGCGACCUCGAUGUUGGAUUAAAGUUAAAUUUUGGUGUAGAAGCUAAGAUUUAGUCUGUUCGACCUUUGAAACUUUACAUGAUCUGAGUUCA